rnacentral:rRNA from 1 species
CAGUAGCCACUGGAAUACGUAGGGUGCAAGCGUUAAUCGGAAUUACUGGGCGUAAAGCGUGCGCAGGCGGUUAUAUAAGACAGAUGUGAAAUCCCCGGGCUCAACCUGGGAACUGCAUUUGUGACUGUAUAGCUAGAGUACGGCAGAGGGGGAUGGAAUUCCGCGUGUAGCAGUGAAAUGCGUAGAUAUGCGGAGGAACACCGAUGGCGAAGGCAAUCCCCUGGGCCUGUACUGACGCUCAUGCACGAAAGCGUGGGGAGCAAACAGGAUUAGAUACCCCGGUAGUCCCUGUCUCUUAUAC